rnacentral:rRNA from 1 species
UACGAAGGGGGCUAGCGUUGCUCGGAAUUACUGGGCGUAAAGCGCACGUAGGCGGAUUGUUAAGUCGGGGGUGAAAUCCUGGAGCUCAACUCCAGAACUGCCUUCGAAACUGGCGAUCUUGAGUCCGGGAGAGGUGAGUGGAACUGCGAGUGUAGAGGUGAAAAUUCGUAGAUAUUCGCAAGAACACCAGUGGCGAAGGCGGCUCACUGGCCCGGUACUGACGCUGAGGUGCGAAAGCGUGGGGAGCAA